rnacentral:sRNA from 1 species
GCCUUUUGUGCUGCGGCCGCGGAGCCCCCGAGGGCCCAGUGUUCACCAUCAUACCAGGGGCCAGAGGCGAUGGCUUGCCUCCAUGAGACCCGAACACCCUCUCCUUCCUUUGGGGGCUUUGUGUCUACCCUAAGUGAGGCAUCCAUGCGCAAGCUGGACCCAGACACUUCUGACUGCACUCCCGAGAAGGACCUGACGCCUACCCAGUGUGUACUUCGAGAUGUGGUACCCCUUGGUGGGCAGGGUGGGGGAGGGCCCAGCCCCUCCCCAGGUGGAGAGCCGCCCCCUGAGCCUUUUGCCAACAGUGUCCUGCAGCUACAUGAGCAGGAUGCAGGGGGCCCAGGGGGAGCAGCUGGGUCACCUGAGAGUCGGGCAUCCAGAGUUCGAGCUGACGAGGUGCGACUGCAGUGCCAGAGUGGCAGUGGCUUCCUUGAGGGCCUCUUUGGCUGCCUGCGCCCUGUCUGGACCAUGAUUGGCAAAGCCUACUCCACUGAGCACAAGCAGCAGCAGGAAGGUAGGCCACGUCCUUGUGGGAGCCUCCUCUCUGUUUCCCUGAGCCCGAGAUCUGUUGGUCAGCUCCGCUAAAGUCACGCAAUGGUCCCUUCCCUCCCCAU